AUUGAACGCUGGCGGCAGGCCUAACACAUGCAAGUCGAGCGAGAGGCGGACGGGUGAGUAAUGUAUGGGGAACUGCCCGAUAGAGGGGGAUAACUACUGGAAACGGUGGCUAAUACCACAUACCAUCAGAUGAACCAAUAUGGGAUUAGCUAGUGGGUGGGGUAACGGCUCACCCAGGCGACGAUCCCGAGCUGGUCUGAGAGGAUGAUCAGCCACACUGGAACUGAGACACGGCCCAGACUCCUACGGGAGGCAGCAGUGGGGAAUAUUGCACAAUGGGCGCAAGCCUGAUGCAGCCAUGCCGCGUGUAUGAAGAAGGCCUUAGGGGUGUAAAGUACUUUCAGCGGGGAGGCGUUACCCGCAGAAGAAGCACCGGCUAACUCCGUGCCAGCAGCCGCGGUAAUAC
rnacentral:rRNA from 1 species